rnacentral:rRNA from 1 species
CGGGGGGGCAAGCGUUGUUCGGAAUUACUGGGCGUAAAGGGCUCGUAGGCGGCCAACUAAGUCCGACGUGAAAUCCCAAGGCUUAACCUUGGAACUGCGUCGGAUACUGGAUGGCUUGAAUUCGGGAGAGGGAUGCAGAAUUCCAGGUGUAGCGGUGAAAUGCGUAGAUAUCUGGAGGAAUACCGGUGGCGAAGGCGGCAUCCUGGACCGACAUUGACGCUGAGGAGCGAAGGCUAGGGGAGCAAACGGGAUUAGAUACCCCGGUAGUCCUAGCCCUAAACGAUGAAUGUUUGGUGUGGCGGGUAUCGAUCCCUGCCGUGCCGAAGCUAACGCAUUAAACAUUCCGCCUGGGGAGUACGGUCGCAAGGCUG